rnacentral:rRNA from 1 species
AGUGAACGCUGGCGGUAGGCCUAACACAUGCAAGUCGAACGGCAGCACAGUAAGAGCUUGCUCUUACGGGUGGCGAGUGGCGGACGGGUGAGGAAUACAUCGGAAUCUACUUUUUCGUGGGGGAUAACGUAGGGAAACUUACGCUAAUACGGCAUAGGACCUACGGGUAAAAGCAGGGAAUCUUCGGACCUUCCGCGAUUGAAGAGGCCGAUGUCGGAUUAGCUAGUUGGCGGGGUAAAGGCCCACCAAGGCGACGAUCCGUAGCUGGUCUGAGAGGAUGAUCAGCCACACUGGAACUGAGACACGGUCCAGACUCCUACGGGAGGCAGCAGUGGGGAAUAUUGGACAAUGGGCGCAAGCCUGAUCCAGCCAUACCGCGUGGGUGAAGAAGGCCUUCGGGUUGUAAAGCCCUUUUGUUGGGAAAGAAAAGCAGCAGGUUAAUACCCCGCUGUUCUGACGGUACCCAAAGAAUAAGCACCGGCUAACUUCGUG